AACGGCCGUACCAUACUGAAUAUACCGGUUCUCGUUAGAUCACCGAAGUUAAGCAUCAUUGGGCGUGGUCAGUACUUGGGUGGGUGACCACCUGGGAACACUGCGUGCCGUU
rnacentral:rRNA from 1 species